UGGGAUUAGCUGUGGCUGUCUGUGUAGUUACUGUGUCUCUCGCCCUGAAGGGUCAGUCAAUACGAGGAGCUGAAUAAGAUGUCCCUCCACAAUCUCGCCACUGUCUUCGGACCCUCCAUGCUCCGCACCCAGCACCAGGGCCUCCCCAUGGACGUUUCACAGGAGAUUGUCACUCAGGUCCAGGUUGUCCAGUACUUCCUCUCGGACGAGAAACUGUCUCAGUUUGAGCGUCAAGAGUCCGUCUCCACGGCAACAUGAGCGACCGAGAGCCUGGGCCUACUCUGUAAAUAAAUGGCAUUGACCUCC